CGUUCAUCGUAGACACUUGCGUACGCAACAACACUGCUGCACGCAGCACCACGAUGGUUCUCAGUGCAAGCAGAAAAAGCUUGGUGGUACUGUGCUUCUUCUCUUCUCUCCUCGUAUUAUCGGUUGCUACUGAAACUUCCGGAGCCGAUGCUGCUGCUGCGAGGAAGAUGACGCCAGGAGGAGCCGCCGGGGCUGCAGACGAUACACCGGGAUACGGUUAUCCACCAGGAUACGGCGCAGGGAACAAAAUAAUGGCUAGUGGGGCUCUUGUAACUUUUUGUUGUUUCUUUCCUCUUCUUUUCUGAAGCAUGCUCUGCGUGCGCACGUACGCGGAAGAAUUAGCUGCAUAUUUGUAAGUGAAUAAAAUGACGGGUAGUGAGAGUGGUGCUUCUUUGGAUCCAUGCAUAGCUCCCACGGAUGUAUUUGUAAGUGAAUAAAAUGACUGGCAGCAGGCCGGUCUCUACUGUAAUCAAAACAUAUAUUGGCCUUGUUCGGCCGGUUCAGAUUAUAUAUAUAGCAUCGACAUGGCAAAUA